rnacentral:rRNA from 5 species
AAAUGCGGAAGAGAUAAGUGCUGAAAGCAUCUAAGCACGAAACUUGCCCCGAGAUGAGUUCUCCCUGAGACUUAGAGUCUCCUGAAGGAACGUUGAAGACGACGACGUUGAUAGGCCGGGUGUGUAAGCGCAGCGAUGCGUUGAGCUAACCGGUACUAAUGAACCGUGAGGCUUAACCUUACAACGCCGAAG